rnacentral:rRNA from 1 species
AGCAGCCGCCGCGGUAAUACGGAGGGUGCAAGCGUUAAUCGGAAUUACUGGGCGUAAAGCGCACGCAGGCGGUUUGUUAAGUCAGAUGUGAAAUCCCCGAGCUCAACCUGGGAAUUGCAGUGGAUACUGGGUCACUAGAGUGUGGUAGAGGAUAGUGGAAUUUCCGGUGUAGCAGUGAAAUGCGUAGAGAUCGGAAGGAACAUCUGUGGCGAAGGCGACUAUCUGGGCCAACACUGACACUGAGGCACGAAAGCGUGGGGAGCAAACAGGAUUAGAUACCCGGGUAGUCCCUGUCUCUUAUAC